rnacentral:tRNA from 1 species
GGCGCUAUGGUGUAGUGGUAGCACAUUGGAUUUUGAAUCCAAAAUUUCCAAUAACCCAGGUUUGAACCCUGGUAGUGCCU